GACGAACGCUGGCGGCGCGCUUAACACAUGCAAGUCGAACGGAAAGGCCUGCUUUCCCUUGUGGAUUGCGGGUACUCGAGUGGCGAACGGGUGAGUAACACGUGAGUGAUCUGCCCCCAACUUGGGUAUAAGCCUGGGAAACUGGGUCUAAUUCCCGAUAGGACUGCAGGGUGGUGCCUGUGUUGGGAAACGAUUUUCUAGUGGUUGGGGAUGAGCUCGAGGCCUAUCAGCUUGUUGGUGGGGUAAUGGCCGACCAAGGCGGCGACGGGUAGCCGGCCCGGGAGGGUGGACGGCCACAUUGGGGCUGAGAUACGGCCCGGAAUCCGACGGGAGGCAGCAGUGGGGACUAUUGCACAAUGGGCGGAAGACUGAGGCAGCGACGCAGCGUGGGGGAUGGCGGGCUUCGGGUUGUAAACUCCUUUCGAAAGCGAGGAAGCCACCUGGUUGGAAGGGUGGUGACGGUAGUGGUAGAAGAAGCACCGGCUAACUACGUG
rnacentral:rRNA from 1 species